rnacentral:rRNA from 1 species
AAUAGAUACCCGGGUAGUCCACGCCGUAAACGAUGAGUGCUAAGUGUUAGAGGGUUUCCGCCCUUUAGUGCUGCAGCUAACGCAUUAAGCACUCCGCCUGGGGAGUACGGCCGCAAGGCUGAAACUCAAAGGAAUUGACGGGGGCCCGCACAAGCGGUGGAGCAUGUGGUUUAAUUCGAAGCAACGCGAAGAACCUUACCAGGUCUUGACAUCCUCUGACAACCCUAGAGAUAGGGGCUUUCCCCUUCGGGGGACAGAGUGACAGGUGGUGCAUGGUUGUCGUCAGCUCGUGUCGUGAGAUGUUGGGUUAAGUCCCGCAACGAGCGCAACCCUUGAUCUUAGUUGCCAGCAUUCAGUUGGGCACUCUAAGGUGACUGCCGGUGACAAACCGGAGGAAGGUGGGGAUGACGUCAAAUCAUCAUGCCCCUUAUGACCUGGGCUACACACGUGCUACAAUGGAUGGUACAAAGGGCUGCAAACCUGCGAAGGUAAGCGAAUCCCAUAAAGCCAUUCUCAGUUCGGAUUGCAGG